AGCUUGCUCUCUUGGUGGCGAGUGGCGGACGGGUGAGUAAUAUAUCGGAACCUGCCCGGUCUGGGGGGAUAACUACUGGAAAGAGUGGCUAAUACCGCAUACGCCCUACGGGGGAAAGGGGGGGAUCUCAGGACCUCUCGUGUUGGAUGGGCCUAUAUCGGAUUAGCUAGUUGGUGGGGUAAAGGCUCACCAAGGCACGAUCCAUAGCUGGUUUGAGAGGACGACCAGGGACACGGGAACUGAGACACGAUCCACACUCCUACGGCAGGGAGCAGUGGGGAAUUUUGGACAAUGGGGGAAACCCUGAUCCUGCCAUCCCGCGUGUAUGAUGAAGGCCUUCAGGUUGUUUAGUACUUUUGGCAGACAAGAAAGAGUAUCCCCGAAUACGGGAUACUGGUGACGGUAUCUGCAGAAUAAGCACCGGCUAACUACGUGCCAGCUGCCGCGGUAAUACGGAGGGUGCAAGCGUUAAUCGGAAUUACUGGGCGUAAUGCGCGUGUAGUCGGUUUGGAAAGAAAGAUGUGAAAUCUCCAGGGCUCAACCUUGAGAACUGCAUUUUUGACUGCCGAGCUAGAGUAUGUCAGAGGGGGGGUAGAAUUCCACGUGUAGCAGUGAGAUGUGUAGAUAUGUGGAGGAAUACCGAUGGCGAAUGCGGCCCCCUGGGAUAAUACUGACGCUCAGACACGAAAGCGUGGGGAGCAAACAGGAUUAGAUACCCUGGUAGUCCACGCCCUAAACGAUGUCAACUAGCUGUUGGGGCCGUUAGGCCUUAGUAGCGCAGCUAACGCGUGAAGUUGACCGCCUGGGGAGUACGGUAGCAAGAUUAAAACUCAAAGGAAUGGGCGGGGACCCGCACAAGCGGUGGAUGAUGUGGAUUAAUUCGAUGCAACGCGAAAAACCUUACUUACCCUUUCCAGAUAUGGAAAGAGAGAGAGAUUUGCCCGUGCUCGCAAGAGAACCGGAACACAGCUGUUGCAUGGUCGUCGUCAGCUGGGGUCGUGAGAUUUUGGGUUAAGUCCGGCAACGAGCGCAACCCUUGUCAUUAGUUGUUACGCAGGAGCAUUUUAAUGAGACUGCCGGUGACAAACCGGAGGAAGGGGGGGAGGACGUCAAUUCUUCAUGGCCCUUAUGGGUAGGGCUUCACACGUCAUACAAUGGUCGGGACAGAGGGUAGCCAACCCGGGAGGGGGAGCCAAUCUCAGAAACCCGAUCAUAGUCCGGAUGGCAGUCUGCAACUCGACUGCGGGAAGUGGGAAUCGUUAGUAAUCGUGGAUCAGAAUGUCGCGGUGAAUACGUUCCCGGGUGUUGUACACACCGCCCGUCACACCAUGGGAGUGGGUUUCACCAGAAGUAGGUAGCCU
rnacentral:rRNA from 1 species